UACAGAGACUGCAAGCGUUAUUCGGAUUCACUGGGCGUAAAGGGUGCGCAGGUGGCCAAGUGUGUUAGGCGUGAAAGCCCAGGGCUUAACCCUGGAAUUGCCUUUAAGACUGCAUCGCUAGAAUCGUGGAGAGGUGAGUGGAAUUCCGAGUGUAGAGGUGAAAUUCGUAGAUAUUCGGAAGAACACCAGUGGCGAAGGCGACUCACUGGACACGUAUUGACGCUGAGGUGCGAAAGCGUGGGGAGCAAACAGG
rnacentral:rRNA from 1 species